rnacentral:rRNA from 1 species
GACGAACCGUGCGAACGUUAUUCGGAAUCACUGGGCUUAAAGCGCGUGUAGGCGGGAGGGCACGUCCGUUGCUGAAAUCCCCCCGGCUCAACCGGGGAACGGGCGCGGAUACGACCUUCCUGGAGGGGCGUAGGGGGGACCUGGAACUUCCGGUGGAGCGGUGAAAUGCGUUGAUAUCGGAAGGAACACCAGUGGCGAAAGCGGCUUCCUGGUCCAGCACCGACGUCAGGCACGAAAGCGUGGGGAGCAAACAGG